UGUGUGCCCCCCUGCCUGGCGAUACCAAUUUUGAGAGGGAGGGGGGCAAAGCGGGAGGGGAUAUUUCCUAUGCAAGUUUCAGAAGAAUCUGCACACACACUUGUACUGGCAUUUGCUUUUGAUAAGGCACUAUUAGCAGAGGAUGUACUUCAGUAUUCUGGGAAGAUUCAAGUAAAAUUACAACACACUUGAACAGUUAUGACAGAUGAGUAAUUUAUUCAUAACAUAUCUUUCACAGCAUAGUGUAGAUUCCUAAAAAUUAACAAAAAUCCUUCCAAAAAGUUAAUUGUUUCCAGUCUCAAUGACAAGCUCAUAGAGGCUUUCUCACCACUAUUUCUGAGUAUUUAUUACCUUAUAUAAGUUUUUAAUAAGUGAUAAAAAAAUAAAGUGCUAUAAUGAAAUUCAAAAUUGAUAUGCCAGACACAAGAAUGUUAAAGGAAUGUGUAAAAUACUAUAUAUGUAUAAGUUAGUAAAACCUGUUAUAUCUGA